rnacentral:rRNA from 1 species
GAUUCGUCACACUAUCAUUAACUGAAUCCAUAGGUUAAUGAGGCGAACCGGGGGAACUGAAACAUCUAAGUACCCCGAGGAAAAGAAAUCAACCGAGAUUCCCCCAGUAGCGGCGAGCGAACGGGGAGGAGCCCAGAGCCUGAAUCAGCAUGUGUGUUAGUGGAAGCGUCUGGAAAGGCGCGCGAUACAGGGUGACAGCCCCGUACACAAAAGCGCAUGUGCUGUGAGCUCGAUGAGUAGGGCGGGACACGUGGUAUCCUGUCUGAAUAUGGGGGGACCAUCCUCCAAGGCUAAAUACUCCUGACUGACCGAUAGUGAACCAGUACCGUGAGGGAAAGGCGAAAAGAACCCCGGCGAGGGGAGUGAAAAAGAACCUGAAACCGUGUACGUACAAGCAGUGGGAGCACCCUUCGGGGUGUGACUGCGUACCUUUUGUAUAAUGGGUCAGCGACUUAUAUUC